GACGAACGCUGGCGGCGUGCUUAACACAUGCAAGUCGAGCGGUAAGGCCCCUUUUGGGGGGUACACGAGCGGCGAACGGGUGAGUAACACGUGGGUGACCUGCCUUCAGCUCUGGGAUAAGCCUGGGAAACUGGGUCUAAUACCGGAUAUGACCUUUGCCUGCAUGGGUGGGGGUGGAAAGAUUUGUUUUGGCUGGGGAUGGGCCUGCGGUCUAUCAGCUUGUUGGGUGGGGUGAUGGCCUACCAAGGCGACGACGGGUAGCCGGCCUGAGAGGGCGACCGGCCACACUGGGACUGAGACACGGCCCAGACUCCUACGGGAGGCAGCAGUGGGGAAUCUUGCGCAAUGGGCGAAAGCCUGACGCAGCGACGCCGCGUGAGGGAUGACGGCCUCGG
rnacentral:rRNA from 1 species